AAGUAGUUUUGGAACCGUUCGAGCAGCAAGGACUCAAAUCUGCUUUGGAGCCUUUAGAUUCAUUUAGAAGCGCUUUAACGCCGGGACUUGCAUUUUGAGAUAAAUUCUCCAUAAACAUGGCGGGGCUUCUAUUUCAUGAUAUUUUCAAGGUCAAGUGUGUCAACCCAGAUGGUAAGAAGUAUGAUAAAGUUUCUAGAAUUGAAGCACGGAGUGAGAAGCUUUCCAUGUAUAUGCUGCUGGAUGUAAAUACAGAGAUAUAUCCAAUUGAUGAAGGUGAGAAGAUUCUGAUGGUAUUGUCCCCCUCGCUGAAUUAUGAUGGAUCUCCUGUUACCAGCUAUAGUGAU
rnacentral:misc_RNA from 1 species